GAUUUUUGUUUUGAAAAUUUUCUUGGAUAAAGAAAGAAGGUUCGAGAAGCCUGAAGAUAUAUAUAAGGUGAGGUCAUUUCUGGUUGAGAGAGGUUUUCUGGAGAGAUUUCUUCUAAAGAAAACUGAAGGAAAAAUCAGUGUUGAAAGUGCUUCUUUUUUUUUUUUCUAUUGUUUGUAUUUAUUCUUUUUUUUAUAACAGAACGGAACAAAAAUAUUAUGGAGGUUCCAUGAUUUCAUUUGAUGUCAGUUUAUUUAGCAUUUCGAAAUAGUAGAGUUCUUUUACUUCGAUUCUGGUUUUUUGGAUAAACAAUGGAAUUCGUUGAAAGUGUGAAUCGGUUGCUGUUGAUUGGGUUGUAGCUGCUUCCUUUUAUGUUCUGUUGUGGAUCAUUUUUCAGAAAUCAGAGAUCCGUUUUUGUUUUCUUUUGCUGUAUUGCUCUUCAAAAGUUUCCACUUCUUCUGAUUUUAAUGGAAAUUGGUUCAACUCUGCCUAUAUGUUGUUUGUUUGAGUGAUCGAGCUGCCGAUAGAGGUCUGUUCAUGGCUGCUUGUCGUGUUGCAUUUGGUUGAUGUUUACCUCAUUUUUCACAGCUGGAUUCAUUUAUAUUUGAUUUCAAACAAAAUUAAUCAAGCUUCGUGCAAUCAGGUUCAAUCUCCUCUUUUCUUUCAUCUAUUUAGAUGUCGAUUGAAAAUAUAGUAAGAGCCAUGAGAAUCCAUCUAUAGACAUAGGUCUGUGAUUAAUUUCAGUAGAGGUUGAAUUUUGAGUUAGCAUUUAGUCUCUAUUUGUGUUUGGAAAUGAUAUUUGACAUGUUGUUUUGUUGUUUGAAUCCCGUACUCACUGUUCUGGUUUGUUUGAGCAUGCUCAGUUAUCCAAAAAUAAUUUGAAUGGUCGUUUUCUAUGCCUCGAAUGUGUUUUAGCUGUUAUUAUGGUGUUGAAAUAUCUCGUGGGUUAAGAUUUUCUCGAGUUGAAAUGGAUAAUCUGUUCGGCUUUAUGAUUGUUGAAUGAGUCGGAAUCAUCAAUGCAUAUUCUGAUGGUUUUCUAUUUGGUUCUCUGAUUUUCCAGUACAAGUACCUUUUAAUGUUAAAAUACUUAGUUCAUAAUCAAAUUGGUAGAGUCGUAUGCAUGAUUGUCAAUGUUUCAACUGGUUUGUUUUCCUCUGAAAAUACACAGCAGCUUGUUCUUGGUUUCUUCAUUUAUUAAAUGUUGAUCAUAUUGCAUUAAGGAACUGAAAUAGAAGAUCUAAGUUAAGGAACUGAAAUGAUCUGAUUGAGAGGUUUAAUGGGCUGAAGAAUUGCUUUUACGUGCGGUAGAGUUAGCAUAGUAUUAUGAAGUUCCAGUUAUAUGAUUCAAAAUUAGUACUUCUGAUGAGUUCUUUAAAGCUUAAUAUCAAAUAGCAUUUGCUUCAAUUCUAGUCAUUUGGCAAUUUUGGUUGUUGUUUUCGACUGAUACACUGGAUCUUUGAAUUAUGGGUAAAGUCAUUAGAUUCUGGGCCAUUCCAUGGGAAUUAUAGUCCAAAGUUUCUACUAUUUUGGAGAGAUUCAUUGGUAGCUUUGCAUAUUAUUUUACUCUAGAAAGAAUUAAUGGAGGAGUUGUCUUCAGUUGUUGCCGUUACACUCAGCUUAAGCAUCUCUAUCUGUGAUAACCCUGCAAUUUCGAACAAUAUGGAAAUCACAAGGCUCAAAUUAGUGAAUGACACAGCUAUUCUAUGCCCUUAAUGUCAUAAGUUUGAUGUGAGUUAUGUAAGUUGGUUGUUAAUGUUGGAAUUGGAAGUUUGCUACAGUUUAUUUUAGAAGCGCCAACUUAUGGAUUGAAAUCCUGAUUGCUAAAUGGCUAAACUAUUGGUAAUUGCUACAUACCGGCCAACAGAUAGUGUUCUCAAGCUGUGGAUCAAUUGUUCAAGCAAUUAUGUUGUCUUUGGUAAUAGAUGAAAUGUGUGUCUUGAUUUAUUCAAUCUUAAUGGGUAUUGAGUGCUAUAAUUUAGAUUAAACCCGAACAUCCGUAGUUUUCUUUAGUUGAGUACGAAUCUUUUUGGAAUUAGUGGAGGCGAGCCAUAUUUAAUAACACAAAUAGCUUAUGGACUUUCGAAGUUUAGCUUUGGAUAUCAUUUAGAAAUUAGAAUCGGGGUGUGUCAUGCCGAAUAAAAUCUCAAAAUGCAUGGCCCUCAGUUAAUUAAUAUUUUAAUCCAUUUAGCAACUUUUUCAUGGCCCUCCCAAAGUUAAAAGUUCGUAGUUGCUUUAGGUAUGUUAUUUUAAUUAUUAAUUUCCUUAAACGCGGAUGUACAUUUUAUGUGAUCCAAAUACAAAUCCUAACAACGUUACAUAAAAUGUCGCGGAUCGUGGGUGCAUUUCAUGUGGCGUGAUCCAAAGACGUGUUUUGUAUAACGUUGAAAUCUUCCUGAAAACUAAUUGAAAGCGAUUUAAAGUUAAAAUGUGCACAGACUUAAAAGUGUUUUAAAAUCAGAUAAAUAGACCAAUUAUAACAGUUGAGCGACCGUGAUAGAACCGCAGAAUCCGGGAAUGCCUAACAUCUUCUCCCGGAUUAACAAAAUUCCUUAUCUGGAUUUUUUUGUUUGCGGACGGUAAAAUAGAGUCAAUCUUUUCCUCUAUUCGGGAUUUGAACCGGUGAUUUGGGAUACCAUAAAAUUAUCUCAAGUGGCAAACUCUGAAUCUUUAAAUGAAAUAAUCCCGUUUUGAUUCACUUUUUUAAGUUGAGAAAACUCCCUUAAUACCCUUCCUAGUAGGAAAAAGGAGGUGUGACAUAGUUAUAAUUGGUGAUCGUUGUUUUUCUGUGAAUUGAGAAUCUGUUGGGAAAAUGAGAGAUUACUGUCCAAAGACAUCCAUUUUCAUUGAAGUUUAGUGUAAAUAGGGCCUGUAUCUGGAUUUGUAUUGAGUACAAUCGUAAUUUACAUGAUGAGCAUUAAUAUAUAGAGAAUUUUUCACAAAGCACCAUAUUUUAGUCCUAAUUAGUCAUUAAUAGAAACCCUUUGCUAUAUUACGUCCUAUUGAUACCUUUUAAAUGUAUUUAACGUAUUUAAGGAAUAGUAUUUAAUAAUACAUCACAAAACAUCGGCGUACAAACAAGAAGACAGCUAAUUAUAGAUAUGUAAUUACAUUUAUUCAAGCGCUAUUAACGCUUGAAUACUUAACGGAUCUGCGCAAGAUAUGGAACGAUAAAGCUUUUAAAAACGGAAGGGAAUCAAAUCAAUUUUGACUUCCCUAAUUUUACUCAACAAACACAUACCCCAUGAAUCUAUAUUAUUCUAAAAUUAAGAAACCUAGAAAGAAGCGAAAAAACAGAGCAAGAGGCAUCAAUAUUGUGCGAUUUUCUUCUCCUUCUUAUAGAUUGAUACAAUACAAAAAAUUUCUAUACAAAAGACUGUAUAACUCUUCUAUACAGAUGGCAAGCUUAAUAGUUUUGUUGCGUCAUUCUGGAAAGUGGAACGAUGAGGGGAAUUAUAUCGAUUUUUCCAUUGAGGGAAUCCUGAUUAAGGAGUAUGCUUCAUUUAAUGAUCUAGUUGCUUCAAUUUUCAAUCAACUGGGUAUAGAUUUUGAGCACAAAUACCAUUAAAAUUCAAUACAAUGUUGAAGAAAAUCGCACGCCAAUGAAAAUACACAAUGAUAUGGGUUACAGAGUGUAUGUAGAAUUAAAGAAAAACAACAGAGAAUUUGGGAUGUAUCCUUUGUGCAUAACAACUAUGAUAUAUUGAAUUGAAGAAAGACAACACAGAAUUUGUGAUGUAUCCUUUGUGCAUAACAACUAUGGAAAAUGAGCUUAUCUCCGGCGAUGGUUUAAAUCAAGGCGACAUGGUGCAGAUAGCCGGAGCAGUUCAAAGGUACGAUUCGGAUACAGAUGAUACACUGGCUAUAGAAAUUGCCAAUUCAGGAGAAGCUAUUGGAGUGUUCGAACUCCACAAGGAUUUGAUAAUUUCAAAAACUGAUCAAAAGGAGGUUAUGGCUGGACAAGUUUAUAAGGAUAAGGCUACAUUGAAAGAGGUCAUGGAGAAUUAUGUUAUAGCUCAAAGGUUUCAAUUCCGGAUUGAUCGGUCUACGGCUACAUUGAAAGAGGUCAUGGAGAUUAUGCUAUAGCUCAAAGAUUUCAAUUCCGGGUUGAUCGGUCUAAUGCUGUCAGGUUGGAUGUUUAUUUAACUUUGUUGUAUUUAGUUGUAUUUGAGUGUUACCUCACGAUGAUGAACAAGAAUGACAAUUUAUAUUUGAUUAGUAUUCAUAAUUAUAUGUAUUCAAAUGUAUUUAACUAUUGGGAAAAUUACAACAGUAGCUAUAAUUAUUUAUGAAUUAUAACUACUAUUCUGUUAAGUGCUUGGAGAUUCAUUCGAAUGUAUUUAGGUGUAUUUAUUGUAUUUAAUCACAUAAAACAAUAUUGGAAUUCCUUUGUAUACAAAAUUACAUAUACAAAGAGUUAAAAUUUGGUACUUUAUUACUAGGAAGUAUAUGAACGGUAUUGGAAUUCGUUUGUAUACAAAAUUACAUAUACAGAGAGUUAUAUUUGGUACUUUAUUACUAGGAAGUAUAUUAUGUAAUCUUCAUUAAGUUGUCUGAUCUGUAUAAUUUUUUUUCCAGCUAUGCAUUAAUAUGUAUUUCAGAAGAUUGUGAUUGGAGGUUUAAGGCUUCAAACAUAAACAAAUCUGAAUUAUUCAAGGUGAGAGA
rnacentral:lncRNA from 1 species